UACAGAGGUCCCAAGCGUUGUUCGGAUUCAUUGGGCGUAAAGGGUGCGUAGGCGGCGCGGUAAGUCGGGUGUGAAAUCUCGGAGCUUAACUCCGAAACUGCAUUCGAUACUGCCGUGCUUGAGGACUGGAGAGGAGACUGGAAUUUACGGUGUAGCGGUGAAAUGCGUAGAUAUCGUAAGGAAGACCAGUGGCGAAGGCGGGUCUCUGGGCCACUACUGACGCUGAGAAGCGAAAGCAUGGGGAGCGAACAGG
rnacentral:rRNA from 1 species